CAGCCGCCGCGGGAAUACGGAGGGUGCAAGCGUUAUCCGGAUUUAUUGGGUUUAAAGGGUCCGUAGGCGGAUCUGUAAGUCAGUGGUGAAAUCUCACAGCUUAACUGUGAAACUGCCAUUGAUACUGCAGGUCUUGAGUAAAUUUGAAGUGGCUGGAAUAAGUAGUGUAGCGGUGAAAUGCAUAGAUAUUACUUAGAACACCAAUUGCGAAGGCAGGUCACUAAGAUUUAACUGACGCUGAUGGACGAAAGCGUGGGGAGCGAACAGGAUUAGAGACCCCGGUAGUCCCUGUCUCUUAUAA
rnacentral:rRNA from 1 species